CUUUGUACAGAGAGUCAAACGGUUCACAGAGGCUGCCGUCUGUUGUUUUUUCGUUUAAUCAAGAAGUGAGACACUCAAAUGUCUCAGGCAGGCGGCGUUAAUCUUGUUUUUCAGUAGUGUGAGAAACCGGAGUGUUAUGAGAUUCUAUGUUUUUAUGUGUUUUAUUCUUUGUUUUAUUAUCUUUUAAUAUUCAAGCAUAUUGUAAAGUGUUUAUAUAUUUCACAGAAUUUGCUGUACUUCCCCAUGUCACAAGAUUCGAUGUAUUGCUCCAUUGUCAUGCAACCCGACAGUGAACUCUGCAAUACAAAUAGUUUAAGCGGGAAACAGAUGCGGGUCACCCAGACUACAAUAGAAAACGGAUGAGGCACCUAAACCACAACAGGAAAACAGAUGCGCGACUCCCUAACCACAAAAGAUUAAGUCAGCGCCACGUCUUUUAGAAAGAAGCAGACACACACACACAUAUACAACUGUUGGUUUAAAGGAAUUUGUAAAAGAGGAAAUGUGACGUAUUUGCAUACGCGAUGUAACCUAUAAAUAAAGAACUGUGCCUGCACUCAGGGUGUGGGUCUCGCCAGAGUCCUCACCCGUGCGUGAGUCUCGUCAGAGUGCUCACCCGUGCACGUUAAUGUUAUUACAUUCUAACUGUUUGAGUGUCUUUAUUCAGCCUGAAGAAUGUCUUAUUAAAAAUAAACUCUUGACAUUUAAUUGGUCCUUCGAGCCGGAUUUUGGACAUCGAAUUAUGCUCCAACAGAGUGACCUCGUCGUUUCCUGACAUCGUGGAGAGCCCGCGCUGAAGUCUGUCGACAGCCUCUUUCCUAUGAAAGAGAAAAGACCAACUAUGUGAAUUCGGGGUUGGCCAGCGUUCUUAGUAAGAGGUCCACGAUCCUGGGGAACGAGGAGGAAUCUCUGACCGGCACUUGUAUCAUCAUAACCAGUCUCUUCCAGGUUGAAACCAGGCGACUGGAUCCUGAUCAAGGUACUCCAGAGGAAAAACUGGAGCUCACCGAGGUGGGAGGGCCCUUUUCAGGUCCUGCUAACAACGCCAACAGCGUGCAAAAUCGCUGAAAGACCUUCGUGGAUCCACCAGAGCCACACCAAAAAAGUACAAGGGGACACAAGCCCAGACACCAGUCCACCUAUCAUCUAGUGAUCUGUAAGUGGAGGAGAGGGCAGAUUGGGUACAUCCCGCCCUCUUGACUUCUCGCUUUCAGUCGACACACUAGGUGAUCUGGUGAACUUGGUCGACCUGAAGAAACCCCAUUGUAGCCCGAGCCCCGACCUAGCCCCACCUGCCCGGUAGAGUAAAGGAAGAUCAGUCCAACCUGCAAAACCAGAAGAGCAACCCAUCACUCAAGAUGUGUCCUCAUCCUGUGGAAUCAGAUCCAUGACCAUGGUCUGCCUAUGGAGACUUAGAGUCCCAGAAAAGCAGGGUGUAUCUUUUGUUUAUCCAGAUAAGACACGUCAUUUCAAUACUGACACAACACAUUGUAGUGAAAUAUGGUCCGUGGUUGGGUAUGGUAAUGAAUACUCAAACUGGCGUAACUGUAAAAACGAAACCGUAUGUUCAAUAUUAGGUCCAAAGAUAUACAAGGGGUCUUCUAUCUACCUGCGCGCGCCGAACAACACGCGCAACGACAGCCGUUGGGGCAGAGCUAUAAAAAGUAUACUAGUGCCAAAACUGACGAGACCAAUUCCUGGCCUAUUGUGGCUGUGCAAUGGCACCCUUAAGCAAAGGCUGCCUGCUAACUGGACAGGAAUCUGUGGCAUAGUAACCUUAGCCCAGGAAAUAUUAAUCCAAAUCCCAAAACACAUACCCACGCUUCCCAGCGC
ensembl:lncRNA